ACGCACGCUGGCUGCGUGCUUAACACCUGCCAGUCUCACUGAAAGGCCCUGCUUUUGUGGGGUGCUCGAGUGGCGAACGGGUGAGUAACACGUGAGUAACCUGCCCUUGACUUUGGGAUAACUUCAGGAAACUGGGGCUAAUACCGGAUAGGAGCUCCUGCUGCAUGGUGGGGGUUGGAAAGUUUCGGCGGUUGGGGAUGGACUCGCGGCUUAUCAGCUUGUUGGUGGGGUAGUGGCUUACCAAGGCUUUGACGGGUAGCCGGCCUGAGAGGGUGACCGGCCACAUUGGGACUGAGAUACGGCCCAGACUCCUACGGGAGGAAGCAGUGGGGAAUAUUGCACAAUGGGCGGAAGCCUGAUGCAGCAACGCCGCGUGCGGGAUGACGGCCUUCGGGUUGUAAACCGCUUUCGCCUGUGACGAAGCGUGAGUGACGGUAAUGGGUAAAGAAGCACCGGCUAACUACGUG
rnacentral:rRNA from 1 species